rnacentral:rRNA from 1 species
AUACGGAGGAUCCGAGCGUUAUCCGGAUUUAUUGGGUUUAAAGGGAGCGUAGGUGGAUUGUUAAGUCAGUUGUGAAAGUUUGCGGCUCAACCGUAAAAUUGCAGUUGAAACUGGCAGUCUUGAGUACAGUAGAGGUGGGCGGAAUUCGUGGUGUAGCGGUGAAAUGCUUAGAUAUCACGAAGAACGCCGAUUGCGAAGGCAGCUCACUAGACUGUUACUGACACUGAUGCUCGAAAGUGUGGGUAUCAAACAGGAUUAGAUACCCUGGUAGUCCACACAGUAAACGAUGAAUACUCGCUGUUUGCGAUAUACAGUAAGCGGCCAAGCGAAAGCAUUAAGUAUUCCACCUGGGGAGUACGCCGGCAACGGUGAAACUCAAAGGAAUUGACGGGG